rfam:Marivita cryptomonadis strain CL-SK44 contig31, whole genome shotgun sequence.
AGCUUUUUUCGCGGCGGCGGACCUCGACCGCCUACGGAAGAGAUGAUCAUGUUCAUAGAUGACCAUCGUGAGCAUCUUGGUGUCGAGGCGAUUUGUAAGGUUUUGCCGAUCGCGCCA